rnacentral:rRNA from 1 species
ACGAACGCUGGCGGCGUGCCUAAUACAUGCAAGUAGAACGCACAGUUUAUACCGUAGCUUGCUACACCAUAGGCUGUGAGUUGCGAACGGGUGAGUAACGCGUAGGUAACCUGCCUGGUAGCGGGGGAUAACUAUUGGAAACGAUAGCUAAUACCGCAUAAUAUUGAUUAUUGCAUGAUAAUUGAUUGAAAGACGCUAUUGCAUCACUACCAGAUGGACCUGCGUUGUAUUAGCUAGUAGGUGAGGUAACGGCUCACCUAGGCGACGAUACAUAGCCGACCUGAGAGGGUGAUCGGCCACACUGGGACUGAGACACGGCCCAGACUCCUACGGGAGGCAGCAGUAGGGAAUCUUCGGCAAUGGACGAAAGUCUGACCGAGCAACGCCGCGUGAGUGAAGAAGGUUUUCGGAUCGUAAAGCUCUGUUGUAAGAGAAGAACGGGUGUGAGAGUGGAAAGUUCACACUGUGACGGUAUCUUACCAGAAAGGGACGGCUAACUACGUG